GAGUUUGAUCCUGGCUCAGGAUGAACGCUAGCGGGAGGCCUAAUACAUGCAAGUCGAGCGGUAGAUACCUUCGGGUAUUGAGAGCGGCGCACGGGUGAGUAACGCGUACAUGACCUACCUUUAAGACUGUGAUAGCCCUGGGAAACUGGGAUUAAUAACGGAUGUGAUAAUGUAUAUAAAUGUAUAUUAUUAAAGCUGAGGCGCUUAGAGAUGGAUGUGCGUCUGAUUAGCUAGUUGGUAGGGUAACGGCCUACCAAGGCGACGAUCAGUAGGGGGCGUGAGAGCGUGGCCCCCCACACGGGUACUGAGACACGGACCCGACUCCUACGGGAGGCAGCAGUAAGGAAUAUUGGUCAAUGGACGGAAGUCUGAACCAGCCAUCCCGCGUGCAGGAUGACGGCCCUAUGGGUUGUAAACUGCUUUUAGCAGAGACGAAACGCCAUCAUUUAUGAUGGUCUGACGGUAUCUGCAGAAUAAGCACCGGCUAACUCCGUGCCAGCAGCCGCGGUAAUCCC
rnacentral:rRNA from 1 species